rnacentral:lncRNA from 1 species
ACAGAACAGAAAACUAGGGUCGACCCAUACGCCUCCCACAACAAACCACCAAAUGGCCAACUCCCACCGGAGCACAAAACGGAGACGCCGUGGACUGAUCACACCGCCACGGAAGGUGUCAUGCCUCGGUGCCAAGAGGACAUGCCUGUGGUACCCCCACAGGUGGUUAUAGCUCAGGUAUACCCUACGGUAUUCUAACAAAAUAUAAUGUCACAACACAUGCGACACAACAAAGGGGUUCUAACAUGUACAUGUUAAACUGAAACGAGAUAUCAAC